GGGUGAGUAACGCGUGAGGAACCUGCCUUUCAGAGGGGGACAACAGUUGGAAACGACUGCUAAUACCGCAUAACAUAUGUUUGUCGCAUGGCAGAUAUAUCAAAGAUUUAUCGCUGAGAGAUGGCCUCGCGUCUGAUUAGCUAGUUGGUAGGGUAACGGCCUACCAAGGCGACGAUCAGUAGCCGGACUGAGAGGUUGGCCGGCCACAUUGGGACUGAGAUACGGCCCAGACUCCUACGGGAGGCAGCAGUGGGGAAUAUUGGGCAAUGGGCGCAAGCCUGACCCAGCAACGCCGCGUGAAGGAAGAAGGCUUUCGGGUUGUAAACUUCUUUUAAGAGGGAAGAGCAGAAGACGGUACCUCUUGAAUAAGCUCCGGCUAACUACGUGCCAGCAGCCGCGGUAAUACGUAGGGAGCGAGCGUUGUCCGGAUUUACUGGGUGUAAAGGGCGUGCAGCCGGGAGUACAAGUCAGAUGUGAAAUCCCGCGGCUCAACCGCGGAACUGCAUUUGAAACUGUAUUUCUUGAGUACUGGAGAGGCAGACGGAAUUCCUAGUGUAGCGGUGAAAUGCGUAGAUAUUAGGAGGAACACCAGUGGCGAAGGCGGUCUGCUGGACAGCAACUGACGGUGAGGCGCGAAAGCGUGGGGAGCAAACAGGAUUAGAUACCCUGGUAGUCCACGCUGUAAACGAUG
rnacentral:rRNA from 1 species